rnacentral:rRNA from 1 species
UACGAAGGGUGCAAACGUUAUUCGGAAUCACUGGGCGUAAAGGGUGUGUAGACGGCAUACUAAGUUCGUUGUUUAAUCUUCCGGCCUAACCGGAAGCUCGCGAUGGAAACUGGUAAGCUUGAGGAUGGAAGAGAGAAGUGGAAUUCUCGGAGUAGCGGUAAAAUGCGUAGAUCUCGAGAGGAACACCUGUGGCGAAAGCGGCUCACUGGACCACAACUGACGCUGAGGCGCGAAAGCUAGGGGAGCAAAC